GGGGGGAGGUGGGGGGGUUGAAUUUGAAUGAAACUGAAACUGAGUUAUACGAGUUAUGAUUUCUAAUUAUGAGAUCAUCCCACCGGCAACUUCGGGAACAUUUUCUCAUACAUCAUUUUGGGAAAGCUGAAUAUUUAUGUAGGAACUGAAUAUUUUAGAGGAGAGUCUGGUAAGUAAUUCUGUGAGAUUCUCUGGAUAACCACCACCGCGUCAGGUGAAGAUGGGUGCAGAGGGAGGUGACAGCGUUCCACAAUUAACCAUUUGCACAUUCAGAGGAAAUGUUGGGUCAAACUUGACUGCAGAAAUCGACCUCUGACCCCCGGCACAAAGAAGCACUGUCGACCAUGUGGACCAAUGAGGGGACAGAGAUCAGCAGAGCCCCUUAGAAUAUUUUACAACCGAGUCUCACAGCAAAACGUGUAGUAGCCACGUUGUGGAACGUGGUAUUUUCACGCUUUCUCCCCAAAAUCGUGACAAUACUACGUUUUAUUUCGGCCCAUUCAUUUACAUCGCCUUGAAACUACGUCACCAGAAACUAAGAAACGGAGGUCUUCUACAUUCUCUGAUGAAAGAUUAUGAAAAUAUAACGCAUACUUCUCACUAGAAAUGCCAUCGAAAUGCAUACAAAUGCUGAAAAUAUCGUGUUUUUCACACAUAAUGGACCGACUUUUCUUUUUUUAGCUGAGGGGAAGUUGAUGGUCACGUGACCUCGUUGCAAACGAAACCUGGUAUUCUCACGCUUUCUCCCCAAAAAGCGUGAGAAUACCGCGCUCCACAACGUAGCUAUUACACGUUUUGCUGUGAGGUUGUAUUUUAACAUUAUGACAUCAGCGCUGCUGGAUCCACUCCUCUGCCCGCGAUCACGGUCAGCACACGGGCCCGUUAGCGACUGAGCUAACGAAUGUCCCUUUUUUAAGGUUAGCGAGCCUCUUAAAAGUCCUGAUGCUACGUCCUCUUCCCACCUUAGCAGCUCUCUUCACUGCUAAACAGCAUUAAAUGUGUUAUUCUAGGAAUACUCUCUCAAUACUGGGAUGUUUGCUGCUACAUGGCCCAUCCGUGUGUGCUGCUCAGCGGAUGACGGAGUGAACCGCGGCAUCGCAGGCCUAAAGUGCCCCUGGCGUCACGCCGGUCGAUGCUCUCCGACCCCGCUUUGUAUUCACGCCGGCGGCGGCCGCGGGCGGUUUCGACGCGUUGCGGUUCGAGGCCGGCUGCCAUAUUGGCCCAAACUGAAAAAACAGAAGAAACAAAAAAGGCAGUGGGAAGGUUCAAGGAGAGCAGAGCAGAGAUCAGGCUGAUGGAGGCCAGAGAGGAGGCGGAGAAACGGCUCCACUGUACUCUGACGCCUCGCCGAUACAUCUCGCCAACCAGAGCCGACACCCGGAGGGGAAUUUAACCCCGAUGCCCAGAACGCAUCCCUCGACUCUCCAAACGAACGCAUACAAAUUCUGUUGGAAACCCCAAAUAACAGUAUGCACCCAAAUGUGAGGAUGAGGGCCUUCGAGGGCAGUCGCAGAGACGACUAAUGGAUGAGUGUUGGACGCCAUGAGUCAUCAAAAUGGGUCAACGGUGUGCUAGCUCCAUUCAGAGUCCUCUGCGAGGUGUAAUUAGACCGAACUCCUCUGAACGCAAAGAAAAAACAAACGAAACGGCGCUCAAAUGAUCCUCUCCUCCAUCUGACAUGAAUCCCCCCCCGACGGUCGCUGGUUAAUCCGUCCAUCUGAAACGUUUAAAUCCAAGAAUAUGUCAUUUUAAUAAGAGGAUUGACACCCAACGCGCUUAACCGCCUCGUGUAAUUACCUCCGGUGUCUGCAGGAACUUCUCUGUGAAUUAAAAAAAGAACACUUCUGAAAAGUAAAGGAAAAAUCAUCUCCUGCAAACCCCAUUGUGUGCACGCGUGUGCGUGUGUGCGUGUGUGUGUGUGUGUGUGUGUGCGUGUGAGACAAUGGAGGUUGUUAGAGGUGUCGGACCCUCCGUUCUGCGCCGUUACCUCCUCCCCUGACAGAUGGCGCGAGAUGCCCGCAGGCUGCCGGUCACAUGAUUAGGGCCGCCGCAGGUUCCCUCGCAGAGGCCCUUCUGCCUGGCGGGCUACAGGUGAGCCGCUCUGCAUCAGAGCUCCCCCAGGUGAUGGAGGGGGGGGGAUUAAGGGUUUUGUUUAGCCGUCGAGUUCUCGUCCGUCUGCGGCUGUAGGAAUAAUGUCCCCACAGUUUUACGAUGGUUCCCUCUCACCGGGACUUUCAGGGAACAGAUGACCUAUAAAACGCAUUCCUCCUCCACCUGUUUGCUUUUGUAGAAAACGCUCGGCUGUGGGGGGCUUUUGAUUUAUCUGUAUUGCUUUUUUAUUUUCAAAUGGAGAGAAGGCAGAUAGGGACGCGUCGCGGCGGCAAGAAAAGGAUUAUUUUCUUUCCUCGGUAGAGCUGCAUAAGACCGAUGCUUCUCUCGCGUCUGUGUUUGACCCAGGUGGCGAUUAGCUGAGCGCAAAUACUGGAAGCGUCUCUAUGUUUUUAAUGAGGGGGUAAAUUACUCCCCACAGAAAAAAAGACCUGGCAGAUGAACAGAUCUUCUGAUAUUGAGUAAAUAAUCGUUGGUGUAGUGAUCAUCUGAAUGCCGAUGCUCGGCUCACCCGGCAUGCCAGCAGACACAAACCCCCCGGAUCCCAUUUUAAUGUGACAAUAAUAACUGUGAUUCAGCUCGGGUCACGUCACUCGUCUCAUUGCUCUGGAACAGCCGAGCUAACAACAGGGAAGCAUCAAUAAAACAGCAAAUGGAGAGGUAAGCCCUUCACGCUGCGCCGCACAUCUGCAGCCACCAGCUGUGAUUACCAACGUCCCCGGCGUCCAGAAGCCCAACGUUACUGCGUGCUCUGUUUCCCACAGCAGCAGAAAUGCCAACGUCAGCCGCCACAUUAAAAAGGCCUCAUUUCAAAUUGGUCUGCCUUUGAGCAAGGCACCGAGUGGCUUCUUCUCGGGCUCAGACUGCUGCACGGAGACAACACGUCCCGUUCCACAACGGUUAAAAACAGGCGAGGAGACGAGGAGAUACAAACAGCGCUUCAAAGUGAGCUCGGUGUAACUUUUCCUCCCGUUUCAUCCCUGGAUCCCGGCGCUGGACGACCAGCGGCAGCAGCUGCGCUGAUCCUCUGCGCUUCUCUUCCAGGAGCGGCGGGUUUUUGUGGUCGUUCGGCCCGCGGCCUCCUGGAAGCUCCAGGGGGUCGAGCGGUCGGCGGCUUCCACGCGUCUCUGCCAGGAAACGAGGCAGCGGCUCCUCUGCACCAAAGCCGGAGCUUUUUUUGCAUUAACGGCCUCUUUAAAAGGAAAUCAGGUUCUUAUUAAACCUGAAAUUCACCUGCGUCAUUAAAAAGGAUCUAAAUUUGAUAUUUGCAACGGUUGAGAAAGAGCUGAGUAACGUCUACCUGAGAGGAGAAGGAAGUAGAACGGCGUCCUGACUUCCGGGCCGUUAAAUACUUAAGCACUUGAGUUUAUUCCGGAUUUUCAUGGGUGCUUUUUUGCAUUGGAGGUUGGUCCGCUCCAUUAAGUCACUGUUGCCAAGGUGCAGUUUGUGCUCCUCAGAGAAAACAAAGGACGAAGGAACGUGUGACCAAAAGGCCAAAUCAAACGCUUUGGGUCACAGAGGAGGGAGGACGAGACGUGUUGGACAGCAGAGCAGCUGCACAGCGAGGGAGCGGAGCGACGAGAGCAAGUAUCAAACCACCUGGAUGUCUGCAGGAGCCGCCUGCAGCGCAGCCUCCAGAGGACGGAACCAGCGGCAGAUCCAGGGCUCCGAGUCGACCCCGUCAGACGGAUAUCCAGAGGCGACGCGCCGGUACUCGGCGAGGCUCUCAGACUAAAGACCCCGGCUGGAAUAGUACCCACGUAACCACGGGGGGAAUAAGGCUAAACAGGGGAUGAAUUAAUACUAUAUCAAAGGGAACCACGGCAAUGAAUUCAGGUACACGGUGCAGAAACCUCAGAAUCACGCUGGUACACCGAGUGGAGGAAAAGAGCACGUGUUGCUGCAGCGGCGCUGUGCUGCGCUCUAUUACAAAGUCACAGCGGGGGGGGGGAAUCGACCCAAGCGGCUUUGAUAGCACAGGGCUUUAAAGGAUAAGAUUAGCAUUGAUCAAAUAAACCGAACUGCGUGUGCAGCAGCCAAAUUCUGUCUCACCUUUAGGAGAGAUGCCAGGCAUGUUGGUGAGCUGUAUUUUACUUCCUGUUCGUAUUACGAUCGUCCCUUCUGAAAUAGGACAAACCCACCGCAAAGUCAUGUGAUAAAGACGCGUUUAUCUAAAUUGAACAACGUCAGAAAAGUUCUUGGAAUAUGUGGUGUCUUCUCUGUGACGCUGCGAGGACAAUUAAGAACUAACGGCCACAAACCCACUUAUUUACCAUGACGCUUGUUGCACAACUGCAGAUUCCCUCCAUCAAGUGAACAAAGGACGGAAUCACCACCUAUUAUUCCCCCUAUUUAGACAUAAACGGGGAGAUGGAGUCAGGCGAGCGGCGUCUGCCUGCAGACACUCACACAGGACGGCGAGGACGAUAACAGGAGAGCAGCAAGAGGAAAAACGCCGCUGCAAUUAUAUCAGUGCGGGUGUAAAUCUUGAAGGCGUGCAGGAGGAGUGGCCCCCCGGCAUGAGGGCUGAAACAUGGCUCACCGGCUCUCCAACGGCUGAAUCACGGCGGAAACAGCAGGAGGCUGAAGACGUCCCUCGGUGGUAGUGAAGACCGCCAGCCGCUCGCCGCGUUUAACGGCCUCGGUUUACACGCGUGUGUGCGUUUGGUUGACGGGCGUUCUGGCAGCGAGCUGCCGUCACAGCUUCCCCUAAAUACCUGUAAGUAUAUGAAUGACCUUUUGUCUGUUCUGAGGUAUGAGCCAGCGGUGGGAUCCCUGAGGCGUGUUGUGAAGCGUGAUAUUAAACCCCGAGCUUCACAACGGGGGGGGGGGGGCUGCCGAGUCCCAACAACAGCGGUGAUUGACAGCUUCCCUCGUCUGGAACCAAACGCCGCCAGGAGAGAGAAGCUGCCUCAAUAGUGUGAAAUGAUGAAGAAGGGGGGGUUGGCGGACGCAGCCGGCUAUUAGCCAUUAGAGUGACUGUCUGUGGGUCAUGGACGGGUGUGGACGGACCCCCGAUCAGGGGACAACAUGAAGACACAACUGAGUGUCUAGAUUCAGGCGGAGAAUCUCGGACUGCUGCUGUAGUUCAUAAUGUGACGUGAGCGACGUGAGAAAAUACCGAAAGAAUGAAGAAUGCGGAACUUGCAUCUUCCAUCCGACUUUAAUCUUGACCGUUAAAACACUGAGACUCGCUGUAAAAGGAAGGAAGAGCGGUCGUAAGUAAGCUGACUUCUUUUCAGUCGAUUUCUGCAGUUUCAACUGAUUGAAGAAGCAGUUCACAGCCGCCGGGAUGCUGGACUGUGGACGAGGAGAAAUUAAGAUGCAGG
ensembl:lncRNA